AGAGUUUGAUCAUGGCUCAGGACGAACGCUGGCGGCGUGCCUAACACAUGCAAGUCGAACGAGGCCACUCCUUCGGGAGUGAGUCGAGUGGCGGACGGGUGAGUAACACGUGAGCAAUCUACCCUUGUGCGGGGGAUAACCCGGGGAAACCCGGGCUAAUACCGCAUGUUUCGAUGAAGGGACAUCCCUUUAUCGGGAAACGUGGCCUCUUUACAAUGCUACGGCGCAGGGAGGAGCUCGCGGGCUAUCAGCUAGUUGGUGAGGUAACGGCUCACCAAGGCAUCGACGGCUACGGGGUCUGAGAGGACGACCCCGCACAUUGGAACUGAGACACGGUCCAGACUCCUACGGGAGGCAGCAGUGGGGAAUAUUGGGCAAUGGCCGAAAGGCUGACCCAGCGACGCCGCGUGUGGGAGGAAGCCCUUCGGGGUGUAAACCACUGUCAGAGGGGACGAAAGAAUCGCGGGUAAACAAUCCGCGGAAGUGACGGUACCCUCAAAGGAAGCACCGGCUAACUCUGUGCCAGCAGCCGCGGUAAUACAGAGGGUGCAAGCGUUGUUCGGAAUUACUGGGCGUAAAGCGCGCGCAGGCGGAUCCUGCAAGUCCGAAGUGAAAUCUCCUUGCUCAACGAGGGGGCUGCUUUGGAUACUGCGGAUCUGGAGACCGGUAGAGGCUGGUAGAAUUGCAGGUGUAGCGGUGG
rnacentral:rRNA from 1 species